rnacentral:rRNA from 1 species
AGUGGACGCGAGCAUCUGUGGCCAAGUUUUUAAGGGCGCACGGUGGAUGCCUUGGCACCAGGAACCGAUGAAGGACGUGGGAGGCCGCGAUAGGCCCCGGGGAGCUGUCAACCGAGCUGUGAUCCGGGGGUGUCCGAAUGGGGAAACCCGGCAGUCGUCAUGGGCUGUCACCUACUGCUGAACACAUAGGCAGUGUGGAGGGAACGCGGGGAAGUGAAACAUCUCAGUACCCGCAGGAAGAGAAAACAACCGUGAUUCCGGGAGUAGUGGCGAGCGAAACCGGAUGAGGCUAAACCGUAUGUGUGUGAUACCCGGCAGGGGUUG